AGAUCCAGAGGCUUUACAAACACUGUCUCCACUGCAGCUGCCCCAAUUGCCAAAAUAACUGCAAACCAGGCCAGACACGCUCCAAAGCAUUUACUAUUCAAAAACAGCCUAUUUGGAGUCAUAACUAGCAAACACCUAUGUAUAGAAAUUAUCAUCAAUAUAAAUACAAUACAAAAGUCCAAGGUGCUUACAUAAAGGGUGAAUAAUACACACAAUAGCAUAGAUCCUGGCAUGGUGUACAGGAGGUGAGAUAUUUCUAGCACAUGAGCCAAAGAGGCCAACAUGCACACAAAACAAAAUACUAGCAUCAAAACAUCUGCCCCCUUACAUGCCGCCCUAUAUGCACAAAACACACACACUACCGUCAGAUUUCCAAGCACAGACAGAACAAACAUAAACAGAGCCAGUGCAAACAGUACCCCAUACUUGAGGGACACCGUACAGGGGCUCGCCAAAUCUGGAAUCCAGGUAGCAUUGUCAUAAUAAUCGUCAUAGGACAAUGAUGAGUUUUCUAAGAAUGCCUGAAGAUCUUCCAGGUCCAGGUCCCGCAGGACAAGCAUCGUGGCUCCGGUGUGGGGACACUCACUCAGUCUGUCUUUCUUGCAGAGUCAGAAGUAGAGAAACAGGAAGAAGGUCCCCUUUAAGGAGAACUGUGACACACCUGCCUACAGAAUUUAAAGCAUAAACACUUGACCCACACCCUUCCUGUGCUAAAAGUUGUGACUGUGUACUUUAUCUCUUUCAGAUAAUGCCCACAUCCCCACCGACUACACGCAACACAACCUCAGGCAAAACCAGAUCAGGGUGCAAACGUAGGUGCUUCAACAAACCAGCAGCCAUGCCUCCUAAAAGACGCCGCGCUCCAAAAAGACCAGCCCCUCCUCCACCACCGGGAUGCCAAGGUGAUGAGGAGUCCAGCCAGGGAACUCAAACGCCAAACCCCCCAUCACCACCAGUGCCCCCUUCAUCACCAACACUUCCCUCAUCCCCCGUCCCUCCUUCAUCACCAGUACAUGAGCCACCAUCUCCUUCCCCCCCACCAGCCCCACCAUCACCAGAUGUUGAUGUUGAAGGUUUAGAUGUAGGAGAGACAGACGAUCCCGGUCCCCCUCCACCAAAAAGAUACUCCAGGUAUCAAAAACCGCAUAAUCCAUCUGAUCCAUUGCCUAAAAAAUAUCAGGGAAUGCGAAGACACCUGCAGGUGACAGCACCCAGGUUAUUUGAUCCCGAGGGUCACCCCCCAACACAUUUUAAGUCAGCUGUUAUGUUUAGUAGCACACAUCCCUACACUUUGAAUAAACUUCACAAGUGUAUCCAAAGCAAACAUGUACUCUCAACACCAGUUAGCUGUUUACCCUUGGUACCAGGCACAACACAACAGUGUGUAACAUACUAUUUACUUUCAUUUGUUGAAGACAAGAAACAGGCCAAAAAACUAAAAAGGGUUGUCUUGGCCUACUGUGAAAAAUACCACAGCAGCGUAGAAGGUACUAUAGUCAAGGCAAAGCCUUAUUUUCCCUUACCAGAGCCCCCUACAGAGCCCCCUACAGACCCCGAGCAGCCAUCCACAAGUACACAAGCUUCUGGCACACAACAUGGUCCCACAGCAUCUCUGGAUGCCGGUGCAGAGCAAGGUGCCACAGGAUCACCUGGAUCUAGUCCAGGACAACAGGGACAAGGGUCUCAGACAAAGGGUGGGCGCGCCGACCCAGCUUUCUUGUACAAAGUGGUUGAUGCUGUUAUGGACCCAGAAACGCUGGUGAAAGUAAAAGAUGCUGAAGAUCAGUUGGGUGCACGAGUGGGUUACAUCGAACUGGAUCUCAACAGCGGUAAGAUCCUUGAGAGUUUUCGCCCCGAAGAACGUUUUCCAAUGAUGAGCACUUUUAAAGUUCUGCUAUGUGGCGCGGUAUUAUCCCGUAUUGACGCCGGGCAAGAGCAACUCGGUCGCCGCAUACACUAUUCUCAGAAUGACUUGGUUGAGUACUCACCAGUCACAGAAAAGCAUCUUACGGAUGGCAUGACAGUAAGAGAAUUAUGCAGUGCUGCCAUAACCAUGAGUGAUAACACUGCGGCCAACUUACUUCUGACAACGAUCGGAGGACCGAAGGAGCUAACCGCUUUUUUGCACAACAUGGGGGAUCAUGUAACUCGCCUUGAUCGUUGGGAACCGGAGCUGAAUGAAGCCAUACCAAACGACGAGCGUGACACCACGAUGCCUGUAGCAAUGGCAACAACGUUGCGCAAACUAUUAACUGGCGAACUACUUACUCUAGCUUCCCGGCAACAAUUAAUAGACUGGAUGGAGGCGGAUAAAGUUGCAGGACCACUUCUGCGCUCGGCCCUUCCGGCUGGCUGGUUUAUUGCUGAUAAAUCUGGAGCCGGUGAGCGUGGGUCUCGCGGUAUCAUUGCAGCACUGGGGCCAGAUGGUAAGCCCUCCCGUAUCGUAGUUAUCUACACGACGGGGAGUCAGGCAACUAUGGAUGAACGAAAUAGACAGAUCGCUGAGAUAGGUGCCUCACUGAUUAAGCAUUGGUAACCGGUUAGUAAUGAGUUUAAACGGGGGAGGCUAACUGAAACACGGAAGGAGACAAUACCGGAAGGAACCCGCGCUAUGACGGCAAUAAAAAGACAGAAUAAAACGCACGGGUGUUGGGUCGUUUGUUCAUAAACGCGGGGUUCGGUCCCAGGGCUGGCACUCUGUCGAUACCCCACCGAGACCCCAUUGGGGCCAAUACGCCCGCGUUUCUUCCUUUUCCCCACCCCACCCCCCAAGUUCGGGUGAAGGCCCAGGGCUCGCAGCCAACGUCGGGGCGGCAGGCCCUGCCAUAGCAGAUCCACUAGUAACGGCCGCCAGUGUGCUGGAAUUCAGGGACAUAAAUCACAUUCCCAGAAUAUAUCCUGGGCAACACCUUCGCCAGGGCAUGCAACAAGAAUGUAAAGCCAGUGGUCUGGAAUUUUCUCUGUGCCAAAAAUAUGUCUUCUAAUGGAAAAUGGUUCAUUAAAUUGUUUUCAAUAAAAAA
rnacentral:tmRNA from 1 species